AUUGAACGCUGGCGGCAGGCCUAACACAUGCAAGUCGAACGAGUGGCGGACGGGUGAGCAAUUUCUGUGACACUGCGCGAUGGAGUGGGAUAACUACUGGAAACGUUACCUAAUACCGUCUCCCAUCCCAUGUGCCCAGAUGGGAUUAGCUAGUAGGUGGGUUAAAGGCUCACCUAGGCGACGAUCCCUAGCUGGUCUGAGAGGAUGACCAGACACACUGGAACUGAGACAGGGUCCAGACUCCUACGGGAGGCAGCAGUGGGGAAUAUUGCACAAUGGGCGCAAGCCUGAGGCAGCCAUGCCGCGUGUAUGAAGAAGGCCUUCGGGUUGUAAAGUACUUUCAGUGAGGAGGCGUUACACACAGAAGAAGCACCGGCUAACUCCGUGCCAGCCGCCGCGGUAAUAC
rnacentral:rRNA from 1 species